rnacentral:rRNA from 1 species
UACAUGGGGUGCAAACGUUGCUCGGAAUUAUUGGGCGUAAAGAGCGUGUAGGCGGUUUGGUAGGUCCGCUGUGAAAACUCGAGCUCAACCUCGAGACGCCGGUGGAAACCAUCAGACUAGAGUCCGGAAGAGGAGAGUGGAAUUCCUGGUGUAGCGGUGAAAUGCGCAGAUAUCAGGAAGAACACCCGUGGCUAAGGCGGCUCUCUAGUACGGUACUGACGCUGAGACGCGAAAGCGUGGGGAGCGAACAGG